GCUUCGUGGGCUUUCUUCCGGCCGCCUCUUUCUUCCUGCGUUUCCUUUCUUCCCUUCUUUGUUUCGGUUGGUGGCGGCCUCUUACGGUUCCUUGCUGCUUGCGGCUGCCCCUGUUCUGCCUGUCCGUCCGAGUGCGCUGCUGGUCUUUUACCUGAUUUGCUGUUGCCUGCUGCAGGUCCAUUCCCCUUUUCGUCUCUUGGUGUGCGGUUCGAUUUUAAUGGUGUGCUCCUCCGCUGUUGCGAUACGGUGGCUUGGUUUGGUGCUCGCCAUGAUUUCGGGCGGGCCGGUGUUUGCUGGAGAUUGCCCUCUCGACGGAGUACCAUCUGCUAGCUAGAAUACAUCCUAUUCAGUGGUUUCAUAUCUUGUUGCUUGAAGGAACUAUACUGAUUCAAAUGGAAUUUUUGUACUGUCUCCUUACUUCGAAGCGCAGGUUGUACGUACUGCGGGUCAGGAAAGAAUUGAGACCUGCUGCCUCGUGGAUGGUGAUGAUUAUUUCCUCUUAUUCAGGUAAAACUAGAAUAAAUGCAUUUGACAACCCGAAUUGUUUGAGAUGGGAUCUCAUGGAUCACUCUGUCUCUGGUAUUUCUAUCACGCAUAUGUAUAUAGGGUUUGGCCUGCUUGGGUCAGUACCAAUUUUGCUCAGCAAGAACGAACCUACAGGUAUUGGCAUCUCAAUAUGUUACCUCAAUGUAAAUAGCAGCGAGCAUAUUCAUUUAUGUGAUGUUUCUAUUGUUCACGCAUGAAGUAGGCAAGAUGUUGCAGUCGAACCUGAAUCACAGAAUUGAAUGAUUGUUGUUGCGUUAUACUGCGAAUGGUUUUGAUCACAUUAUGUUUGCUCUCAUUUUAUAUAGAAAACUGUUCAUGCCAUUCGGGUAUAUUGUAGCAAUGUAUUUGAUUAGUGGGAAACAAGCCCAAGAUCGUAUACAUAGCUGCAUAAUGAUUUUUUGUAUCCGUUCUAAAUAUCAUUUACAUCUUACAUAAAGAUGAGAAACAGAAACUAACAAUAAGACCAUGAUGCUAUUGUUAUAUGGAUAUUCGUUUGAUAUAUUUUUCAGAGUGGACUAAACUAUUUCUCACUGUGGUGGCUCCUAAUUUUCUUCCUGCUACUGUAGAUAAUGAUUUUAAAAUUUUGAGUGAAUGACCUGUCCCUACGACAUUUAGAGUUCUUUAUCUUAUAUAUUGUGAUGCCAGUCCCUAAAUCGUACUAUGUGGUGCAUAUAUAAAAAAUAAUCAAGAUUAUUACCAUGAGAAGGGAGAAAGGAUUAAUGCUUUUCCCAUUGAACUGUAUGAUAUGGAAUUAAUUCAUCCAAGCUAAUGUGAAUCAGAUUUACUUUUUGGAAAUUUGAUAAUUAUCAUUGCAAUAUAAGAAUAUGAGUUUGGCAUGUUAUCGGUUUUGUACCAUCUUAUCUCAGUCUUACCAUUAUGUGCAAUUUACAGUAGGAACCUCAUGCGAGACAUUUUGUAAUGUUAUCUGAAUUCCUGAUUUAUUUAGGUUAAAGGGUGCAAAGAAGGCUCUAUGUAGAAAAUUGACAUCAUGCAAUUAAACAACACCUUUGUGGUGAUAAGGUUACUUUUUCUGUUAUGUUCACCUAAAGAUCUAUGUUCGGUUAUGUAUUUGCCUUCUUAAAAUAUCUUCGGUUUCUUAAGGUUAGCAUGUCAACGCCGGUUUGUAUCCAUGUCUGAAAUAUUAAUGUGCCAUAUCUCAAGCAAGUUUAAAUAAACAUUUUCCAGACGUGUCAAUUAAUUAUCAGAUCUGCUGCAUAUAGUACUAACUUGAGAAAUAGGAAGUAGCUAUGCCCAUGUUUCUCAGGUAGAUAUGUUCAUGUAAUUCACGAGCAGACAAACCAGACGGAGCCGUGUUUAUGUUUCUGUGAUUUGGAUUUUGGCACCGGACAUUUUAUCUGUUAUCUUAACUCUUUAAGUAUUAUCUUCUGAUUUGCAUGUACAUAAAGUUUAGUUCUGGUAUCAACUAUUAAUCUUGAAAAGAAGCAUCACAUACGUAAAUUGGUUAAGACCAAUUUUGUUAUGUUCAGAGCAAUCUCAAAUUUAAAGAGUGACUGGUUUACUAUAUCAAGAGUUUAUAACCAAAGUUCUUUUUUGUGGCAAACAGAGAUGUACAUACUUUUAUGUUUCCUGACUUUUCGGGUUUAAGCUAUGAAAAUCUUACCUUUGUUGUAUUGUGCUUUCCUUUGUACGCAUAUAAAGCCUUCAAAUUGCAGAACACCAAUUUGCAUGUUUUCCUUUGUAUUUUUCUAAACAUAAUGUUUUUAUCUUAAGUUUACAAAUAUCCAGUUUUUCCAGGCCACAUAGCAACUAUUUUAUGGAGCUAUGCUUUUUACAACUCAAAAAUAAAAUAUUUUCAAGAUUUCAUUUUAUUCUCAUGCAGCUGUACCUGGUUUACUUGUUUUUGGAAGGUAUAAAUAUCCAGUUUUUCCAGGCCACAUAGCAACUGUUUUAUGGAGCUUGCUUUUUACAAAUCAAAAUAAUAAAAUAUUUUCAAGAUUUUAUUUUAUUCUCAUGCAGUUGUACCUGGUGUCCUGGUUUACUUGUCUUUGGAAGGUAAGGAUCCCAGUUAGAUCAAUGCUCUAAUGUCUAUGGGGUCACCAUAACCAGCUUCUUUUCUAGCAGCUAGCAGUGAUCAAUUCAAUGUGAAGUGGCCUGGGAGGUAAUAUUGAAUGCGCAGUGCCUGCUCUUUUUAAGUGAUUAUAAUUUCUGCAAUUUGGAGUAAUUGUGGCAAUUUGACCUUUUUAGUCGUGUGACCAAUGGCCAUAAUUAUGAUAAUAGUGGGAAAUCAGCAUCUCCUCUAUAUGUUUUCUGUUUUGGUGGGAUUCUCUUGGUUUUUAGCCAUGUUUGCAUGCUUCAAUUGCACAUGCAUGAAUCAAAAGUUUUGUGCUUUUAUUUGAAUGUACUGAUAUUAUGGGCCAAAAGUAAUACAAAUUAAACAUUACUACACCAUGUCCUCUUUUCAGGAUAUGUUGAAAUUAGAGGUUGCUUCUGAUAGUUCCAUGUGCUAGCCUUUAUAUUUGGUGCUUUCAUUGUUUAUUUCCAUUUUUAACCAUAAGCAAGUUUUUCUCAUCGUUGUUUUGUAGAACGUUAUUGUUGGGAGGUUGCAUGCUUUUGAUAUGCUAAAAUUGUUACAUUUCACUAUUUUGCAAGUACACAAAAGAAUGCGAACUGAAGAAGCGUAAUGAUAUCCAAUGCAAGUGAAGCUACUGCGCGGCAAAAAUGUGACAAUGGAUGAUGCUCUUCAGCUAAAGAGAUGAACAUAAUCCCGUGGACUGAACAAGCACGCACACACACCAUUUUUUUCAUUUUGUUAAAUCUCUCGAUUUAAAGCUGAUUUCACUCCUAAUAUAAUGACAUGCACAACACCUUUAACACCUUGGUAGCUAGAGUUUUCUUGUCUUAUAACUUUGACCUUGGUUUCUCACUGCUCUCUGAGCUAUAUAUCCAGGAUGCUAUUAUUUUUGGGUAAA